AUUGAACGCUGGCGGCAGGCUUAACACAUGCAAGUCGAGCGGAGAGAGGUAGCUUGCUACUGAUCUUAGCGGCGGACGGGUGAGUAAUGCUUAGGAAUCUGCCUAUUAGUGGGGGACAACAUUUCGAAAGGAAUGCUAAUACCGCCUACGUCCUACGGGAGAAAGCAGGGGAUCUUCAGACCUUGAGCUAAUAGAUGAGCCUAAGUCGGAUUAGCUAGUUGGUGGGGUAAAGGCCUACCAAGGCGACGAUCUGUAGCGGGUCUGAGAGGAUGAUCCGCCACACUGGGACUGAGACACGGCCAGACUCCUACGGGAGGCAGCAGUGGGGAAUAUUGGACAAUGGGCGGAAGCCUGAUCCAGCCAUGCCGCGUGUGUGAAGAAGGCCUAUGGUUGUAAAGCACUUUAAGCGAGGAGGAGGCUACUUUAGUUAAUACCUAGAGAUAGUGGACGUUACUCGCAGAAUAAGCACCGGCUAACUCUGUGCCAGCAGCCGCCGUAACAC
rnacentral:rRNA from 1 species